GAUGAACGCUGGCGGUAUGCUUAACACAUGCAAGUCGAACGGACUCUUCGGAGUUAGUGGCGGACGGGUGAGUAACGCGUGAGAAUCUGGCUUUGGGUUCGGGACAACCACUGGAAACGGUGGCUAAUACCGGUUGUGCCGAGAGGUAAAAGAGAAAUUGCCUGAAGAUGAGCUCGCGUCUGAUUAGCUAGUUGGUGAGGUAAAGGCUCACCAAGGCAGCGAUCAGUAGCUGGUCUGAGAGGAUGACCAGCCACACUGGGACUGAGACACGGCCCAGACUCCUACGGGAGGCAGCAGUGGGGAAUUUUCCGCAAUGGGCGAAAGCCUGACGGAGCAAUACCGCGUGAGGGAAGAAGGCUCUUGGGUUGUAAACCUCUUUUCUUAGGGAAGAACAAAAUGACGGUACCUAAGGAAUCAGCAUCGGCUAACUCCGUG
rnacentral:rRNA from 1 species